AACCGGCGAUACCCGAAUGGGGAAACCCAGUGUGUUUCGACACACUAUCAUGUCAUGAAUACAUAGUGGCAUGAGGCGAACCGGGGGAACUGAAACAUCUAAGUACCCCGAGGAAAAGAAAUCAACCGAGAUUCCCCCAGUAGCGGCGAGCGAACGGGGAGGAGCCCAGAACCUGAAUCGGCUUGUGUGUUAGUGGAAGCGUCUGGAAAGUCGCGCAG
rnacentral:rRNA from 1 species